UAGGUGGCCAAUUAAGUCAAAUGUGAAAUCCCCGAGCUUAACUUGGGAAUUGCAUUCGAUACUGGUUGGCUAGAGUAUGGGAGAGGAUGGUAGAAUUCCAGGUGUAGCGGUGAAAUGCGUAGAGAUCUGGAGGAAUACCGAUGGCGAAGGCAGCCAUCUGGCCUAAUACUGACACUGAGGUGCGAAAGCAUGGGGAGCAAACAGGAUUAGAUACCCUGGUAGUCCAUGCCGUAAACGAUGUCUACUAGCCGUUGGGGCCUUUGANGCUUUAGUGNCGCANCUAACGCGAUAAGUAGACCGCNUGGGGAGUACGGUCNCAAACUAAACUCAAUGAAUUGACGGGGNCCGCNCAACGGU
rnacentral:rRNA from 1 species